rnacentral:rRNA from 1 species
CAAUAGCGUAUAUUAAAGUUGUUGCAGUUAAAAAGCUCGUAGUUGGACCUUGGACCUGGACAGGCGGUCCGCCUCACGGCGUGUACUGUCUUGCUGGGUCUUUCCUCUUGGUGAUCUGUUGUUUCGGCAGCAGGGAACCAGGACUUUUACUUUGAAAAAAUUAGAGUGUUCAAAGCAGGCUCGACGCCGGAAUACAUUAGCAUGGAAUAAUAAAAUAGGACGUGCGGUUCUAUUUUGUUGGUUUUUGGAAUCGCCGUAAUGAUUAAUAGGGACAGUCGGGGGCAUUAGUACUCACAUGCUAGAGGUGAAAUUCUUGGAUUUUGUGAAGACUAACUUCUGCGAAAGCAUUUGCCAAGGAUGUUUUCAUUAA